CGGACGGGUGAGUAACGCGUGGGUAACCUGCCUCAUACAGGGGGAUAACAGUUAGAAAUGACUGCUAAUACCGCAUAAGCGCACAGGAUUGCAUGAUCCGGUGUGAAAAACUCCGGUGGUAUGAGAUGGACCCGCGUCUGAUUAGCUAGUUGGUGGGGUAACGGCCCACCAAGGCGACGAUCAGUAGCCGACCUGAGAGGGUGACCGGCCACAUUGGGACUGAGACACGGCCCAAACUCCUACGGAAGGCAGCAG
rnacentral:rRNA from 1 species